UCAUGAUGGCGGUAGUGGGGACUAUUUUGAAUUUCGUCCCUGCUUUUUGAAGUUUACAUCAAGGGUAUACUGUCGAAUGGGAUACUACUUUGUAUAGAGCGAGUUAACAAAAAUCGUAUGAUGGAUUCCGUCGUGGGUGAUGACCAGACGCUUCCGGUUGACAUAAAUGGAAGCUGCAAAUUACCGGACUCCAUCGAUGGUGGAGAUUACUCUGUGGACAGCAUGACAGCGCCAUCCUUUCCAGAUACGAUGUCCCCCAUCAAAGCUCUCACCAUGAAGGACUAUGAGAAUCAAAUCACAGCUCUUAAAAAGGAGAACUUUAACCUUAAGCUGCGCAUUUACUUCAUGGAGGAGCGUAUGCAGCAAAAAUGUGACGACUCGACCGAGGACAUAUUUAAAACGAACAUUGAGCUGAAGGUCGAGCUGGAGUCCAUGAAGAGAGACCUGGCAGAGAAACAGGAACUACUGGUAUCUGCAUCGAAAGCAUUGGAGAGUCUGGCAGUCAGAGAAUCAGGGGAACCCCAGCGCGUAAGAGAGCAGGCUCAGCGAGAAAUGGAUGCUCUACGAGAUGCACAUAACAAGAAGAUAGCUGACAUGGAACAGAGCCUGCGAAUGGCAGAGGAAGAAAUUAAGAAGAUGGCAGACAUUGCUGAGCAGGAGAAACUAAAGAAUAUCAACAUGGAGAAACAGUUCCUGGCUCUUGGCAUGCCGAGCACUUUGACCCCUGUCCCAGUACCCACCCUAACACAUGACCUGCAGCAGACCCUGCAAGAAAAAGACAGUAUCAUAGAGAAGCUUAAGAGUUCUUUAAAGAACCAGGAAGCCCUUUUCCAGCAGAAGAAUAACGCAGACCAGGGGACAGAUGCACCAACCAGAGAUCAUGUUAGACAACUCUCAGCUCUUAUUGUCAGAAAAGAUGAGGAACUCCAGGCACUACAAGAUGAGCUAGAUAGAGAGAAGGUCAGGACACAAAGGCAACUUCAGGGGGUUACCGAAAAACAGAGUGAGCUUGGCCAUUUGGAGUCCACCAAUAAGCGGUUGAAUGAAGAAGUCAUCCACACAAAGUCCACAAAUGAGAACUUGACAAAAGCAUUGGAGGAUGUCCGGAGUCAGAACAAGGCCCUGUCAGUGAAGUUAGAGGAAAAAGAGAAUGGGCUGAACUCUGAGAAGAAAAAUGCUCUAAAACGAGACAAAACUAUCCAAGGACUGACUCAGGUCCUAAAGGAAAAGGAAAAAGAGAUUUCAGAGUUGUGUCAUGAGAUUGAGGACAGGGACCAGGCUUUGACCAAGGCUAGAGAGGCAGCACACAAAGCGCAACUGCAGAGAUACCAGGGGGCAGAAGAACACCAGACUUUGUUGAUGGAAAAGCAAGCCGAGCUGGCCCAGCUCCAGGGAGAUCAUCACACCAAGGUGCUGGAAGCCCAAAAGCUGCAACGUUCCCUGGCAAGGAAGGAGCAAGAGCUGGCUGACCUGCAGCAGGCAAAAGACCAACUAGAGGCGGAACUGGAGGAUUCGCAGCAGCAGAAGAAGAAAGGAGACAAAGCCUUGAAUGAUCUGCAGAACCAGCUUAAGAAAUUAACUGGGGAGAUUGGGGACAGAGAGAGUGCUCUGGAACAGCAGUACCAGGGGCUCCUGGAUCAGACCAGGAGAAAAAUUCAGGCCCACGAGGUCACUAUCCAGCAUCUCACUUCCAGCUUGGCCGAUAAAGAUCAACAACUGCAGGAGUACAUAAACAUGGUCAGAGACUUUGAGCUGAACAGAAGCCCAGGAGGAAGUGAUAUUAUGCUUUCCAAGUUACGAGAACGACUGAAAGAGAAAGAAAAGGCACUGGAGCAAGCACUGGAUGAAAAAUUUGCUGCCGUUGAAGAAAAGGACAAUGAAAUACACCAGUUGCAGUUAUCUCUACGGGAGAAGGAGAGAGACUUGGAGAGACUGAACAACCUGCUCUCUCACAAUGAAGAGACCAUUAACAGUUUUGACAGUCUAAUCAAGGAGAAGGAUGUGGAGCUACAGCACCUUUCCAACACAUUAAAGAACCUGCAGAGAGCCAAGCAGGAUGUGGAGGAUAACCUGAGCAGAUCCCUUAGAGAGAAAGACUCCAUUAUCAGUCAGCUACAGCUGUCCUUACAGGCCAAGACCAAGGACUUGGAGGAAAUGUCUGGAGCUAUGCUCAACCAGUCUCAGACCCAGGCCCAUGACCUGGCUGAACAAAUGGGACAGAGGUUAAAGAUGACAGAAGCUAUGUUGACUGAGGCUGUGAAGGCCAGGGAGAGACUGGUGGCUGACAAUGAAAGUGCUGUGGAAGGACUGUUGGCCACUAUUAGCAGCAAGGACCAACUCCUCAAGGAGUCUUCGGAGCACUACAACCGCAUGUUGUCUGAGUAUACUCGGGAGAUCCGGGAACUGAAGAGACAGCUGUGUGACAGGCAGCAACAGCUUGCCACUGCUGAGAAACACAGCUCCACAGCAACCCAGGAGGGUUACCUAGAGUUGGCUGAGCUCAAAGCACUUCUGGCAGAAAAGGACGGUUUAAUUAAUAAGCUGCUAGAGAUUGGUCAGGAGAGAGACCAGUUCCUGUUGGACCUUAGGCUUAAGGAGGAGCCAGAACAGGUGCUGGAGCUCAGACAGACUAUCCGUAUUCUGCAGGAGAAGUUGAAAGAAAGAGAAGACCCUGAAGCUGAGCUGUCCAGGAGGAAUGAUGAAGAUAACACGGAGAAUGUUGUACUCACUAAGAAAACAGUUGUUAUCUUGAAGAAGGAGCUAGCACAGAAAACUGAGGCGCUGAAUAAAGCACUAAAAAGAGAGAAUGAGCUGAAGAUUUCACAGACAGAGCUGGAGUCAGUGCUUUCUGAGCUGGAGGCACGCAUUAAAGGUCACGCUGCCAGUAUAGAGUCCCUGACCAGCACUCUGGAGACGAAGGAUGAGAUUAUCAAUGACCUUCACCAGCGUCUUGGUCAGAAAGGGGACAGUCAGACCUGUUAUAGCCAGGAUCAGGCCUCCAUUUCUAGGGUUGACAAAUUAUUACCUGGCCUUCCCCAACGAGAGAGAACGAUCAUUGGGGGAGAUAGUCAGCAAGAGGCUUUGCCCAGCCUUUCAGCCUUGCAUGAGGAGCAUGAGGCCCUUAACAGAGCCCUGAGGGCUGAGCAGCAGCUCUACUCCAGCCUGGUCAGGACCGUCAAAGAACAGAACAGUGCUCAACGUCUCCACGCUCUGCAGCUGGAGCUGACAGCUGUGCAGCUACUCAGACAGCAACUAGAGGAUGGCAUCAAAACUAAUGAGGAGUUAAGGGAUGACUUGGAGAAAGAAAUACACAAAGCCCAGUUCAAACAAGACCUGGUUGAGCCUACAGAGCUUGAGAGCAUGAGGCACCAGCUUGAGGAUGCCCAGCGCUGGAAUGCCUCUCUGCAGGCUCGCCUAGGGGCCAUCCAAAAGCGAGGAGGAGGGGUCGGCGGAGCCAAUGACAGUGGUGACACUCUGAGUUUCAUAGCAGACCAGACGUCUUACAUGAGUAUCUGUGUUGGAGAAGUGGCGGAAGAAGGCUUGUCUCGGCUCUCUGAAGCAGAACUCAAGCAGAAGGUGAUGGAGCUGCAGGAGUGUGUCAGCAGACUGCAGGCUCUGAAUGGGGACUUGCAAAAAAGAUUGUCAGUGUUGGAGAGAUCAGAAAAUGACCCAUCCGGCUGGAGUGACCCAGGCCUAGCCAGCGAUACCCCUUGGAAACAGCAGCUAGAGCAGAUGCAGGAGGAACAGGUUUCAGCACACAGUAGCAGGACUAGCCACCCGGCUCAGGAUAAAGAGUGUCAAACAGACAUCAAACUGGAACAGAUAGUGCCUGGAAGCCAGUUUGAUGAUGUGAGUACAAGCAGUGGCCGUGACCAGAUUGGGGAGUGUUCUGAGGUUAGUCAUGAUACCUGGGACAAUAAAAAGAGAGAGUUACUGGGGAGGAACAAAGAAGGAAUGACGCCGAAGUCUCUUCUAGUUGACUGUGGGACUUCAUCAGUCUCACACCAUAGAGAGGAGUUAUUCAGUCUGAGAUCAGAAAAUCUGGAACUGCAGGGUCUGUUGAAGGAAGGAAAUUCAACUGAGUUUAAAGAGAGAGAGAGUGCUGACACGUCGGGGGACAGUAGUGAUGGACAGGCCGACCUCAGAAGGACUGUGGAGAAACUAAGGGCGGAGGCAAAAAGUCAUCAUAAGGUCAUCAGGCUGUUAAAGGAACAGUUGAAGAUGAACUCUGGGGAAGUGUUGGAAGGGGAUAUCCAUGUCACCUCACAGUUAAUUGUGAGCACAGCCCAGGAGAGGGAGGGUCAACAAACAAAAAGCCUGUCACACAUCAGAAGUCCAAGGCUGCACAUCUCAAGAUCUACGGCUGCUGCCAGAUCUCGCCUACCUGUCCCUGUGAAACUGGGAACAAAGGCCGGAAGUAGCAGGCAGCUGGCACAGCAUAGUGACCACCUGGAAACUGAUGCUUCUCAGCAAUUCCAUCUGCAAAAGGUCUACAGGUCAAGUCAAAAUUUACCUGCAGAGUCUGACUAUCCCAAGUCACCUAACCGUAGCACAUCCCCAGAUUCCAACCACAGAUAUUCCCACUGCAGUGAUACCUUGGCGGGUUCUGAUAAUAACCCAGAGGCCAGAAAGAGACUGAACCAGACUCAGACAGAUUCUGCUCUCUUUACCCAGUUGGAACUCCUCCACCAGGAGUGCCAAGAGAAGGAGGCACUGAUCAACAGGCUGGAGGAGCAGCUUGGUGAGUGGGAGGAGCUUCAGGCCCAGCUCCAAGAGAAAGAUCAGCUGAAUCAUCGGUACUUGGAAGCUUUACAAGCUGCAAAGUCCACUAUUGCUUAUCUGACUGCUUGCAACUGGGACAGCCAUGGUGGACUUGGGUCUCAACCCAGUUUGAGUGCAGCUUCUUCUUCUAUGGACUUAGAUGCUGCCUUCCAGAUGAGAUGCAUGGAACUUCAGAAGGCUGUACAAGAGAAGGAAAAGCUGAACAGUCAGUUUGUUGAGUUUUUAAAUAUGGAUGAAAAAGCUCUUCCUUCUCUCAGUGUCUCUUCGACUUUCUCACCCACCACAGAAAUUAAUGACAACAAUGGAUUUUUGGAUGAAACAAGCUCAGAAAGGAUCCUGGGACAUCCUCAAGGCCCUAACCCUGAGUUGCAGCAGCAUGCAGGCUCCCUGCAGGAGGUGCUAUGGGAGCAGAAUAGGCUCAGUGCAGAUCUACAGGAGAAACUUAUUGGUGCAGCGACUGUUGGUACACAGCAUGGCCACAACGAUGCUAGCAAUGGACAGGAUGGCAACAGCAACCGGCAGCAGAUAGUUGGAGAGUCACUACAAAUGGAGGGGUCAGGGGGACAACAUGGGAAAUUGUCAUGUUCUGACAGUAUGAUUGUGGGUCAGAGAGAGAUAACCAAGUCUCUCACUGACUGUCUCAAUGCAGCAGAGUCUGCUAUUGCCUCUCUGACUGCACACUGUACCAAUACAGUAAGUUCUGGUAGACCAGCUCAGACAAGUCCUGAUCUGCAAGAGCAUCUUGCCAGGCUUCAGAGACUAUUGCAAGAGAGAGAUAAACUGGAAGACAUUGGCCAGAUAGAACCCACUCAGCAAACUGGUAGAUGCCCCAAGAACCAGUCCACUGCAUGGGCUGGAACCAAGGGACCACUUUCUCACCAGCUCUUCCAUAACCUCUGUCUCCUACAUAAAACCUUCAGUGAUUGUUCCCAGAGGAUCUCUGAACUCCAGGCAUCCCUACAGAAAGAGAGGGACUGUCGAACAGGAAAUAAGGUUCAGGGGAGACCACAGGAUGUCAGGGGAUUACCCUUGGAUGUUGAGGCCCAAAUGGAGACUCUCCAGAAGGCUCUGAAAGAUAAAAAGAGAUCCUGUAAAAGCCUAGAGGAGAAACUGGCUGCCGCACAGGCCAUUAUUACCCUUCAGAACUCAUCUAAGAAACCCUUCCAUGGAACUGCACAGAAAACGCCAGCUGUGGAGCAGGAUGACAAGUGCGUGCAGGUGGAUUUGCAGGACCUGGGUUACGAAACCAGUGGCAAGAGUGAGAACGAUAGGGAAGAGAGCAGUAGCACAGAUCUAGAGGUUGGUGUACGGCCUGGUGUCAGUGCAUCUAGCCUGCCCUUCCUGUUGAAACAGGAUCAGUCCACCUUCUCCUCUACUGAAAACCUAGACUCCUCCAGUACCUCCUACCCCAGCUCUCCUGCUCUUAGUUCCCCCAAGGUAAGUCUGAAGAGCCUACAGGCCUAUGAGGAUUAUGGUUCAACUGAAGAUCCAGCUCAGCUCCAGUCCCAAGUCCGAGAGUUGAAGGUUCAACUGGAGAGCCAGACCAGAGGCAUCCUCCAAAUGCAAAACCUCCUGUGUAAGAGCUCCCUCUCUUGUGAUCUUGUAAACAACACAUCAGACCCAAUGACAAGAGACCAAGAAGGCACAAUGGGGGAGGGCUGCACCCAAGAAGGGGGCUACAGUCAUGGGGAGCUCAGAGAGAAAGAGGAUGUGGAGAACCAGCAGAUGAAAGAUCAGAUCAGUAACCUGAAUGUAGAGCUGCAGAGAGAAAGGACUCUGAACAGGAGCAUGACUGAACAGCUGCAGCAAGCCCAGCACCGCAGCCGCUCUGCCUCACCUGCUAGACUGGACUCCCUGGUGCAGUCCCAGGCCAGGGAGCUGUCCCAGCUGAGGCAGCAGAUCAAGGAGAGCUAUGGGCUGGGAGCCCUGCAACGCCACCAGCUAGAGGAGCUGAACAGAGCGUUCAGAGAACUGCAGCAGGCCAGCAAUGUGGACUUUGGUAUGGAUGAGGUUCUCAAAGAGCAGCUAGACAAGAGCCUGAGUAUCCUGGAGAAGCUAGAGGGACGGCUGGAAAAAGGAGAUGUUCAUCAGAACAGUGAGGAUGGAGCAGCUCUGGAGCUCGUUCAAAGCCCAGGGGAGCCCCAACAGGAGAUGCGGUACCUGUUUUCCAAUUCAGAGAGUAUCAGCGACUUUCCGGACAGCCCUGCUAGAAUCCAACAGGAGAUAGAUUACCUGCGGCUUACGCUAGAUGUAGAAAGAGAGGUGCAGCAACAGCACCUCAGUUUCCUUGUCCAGCAGAACCAAACUCUGGCUGAGUGCACCAGGGAGCAGCUGGACUUGUUGUCUAAGGAGCUGCAGGAAAAGAAUUGUUUAAUCCAGAGCCUGCAGAGCCGACUCAGAGGUCAGAACCCCAGUAGCCACCACAGCUCCUACUCUGACCUGUCCCACUCAGAGAGAGUCUCCAUCUCCAGCCACAACAGUCCAACACCACGAAGUGGCAAUCUAGAGGCUCAUGCUCCAGAGACUGUAGUCCAGCAACAAGUCCCUCCUGUGGGUGGAGUCAAGGUUGACGGUGUUUCUGGUCACAGGGACCAUGCCAGCAAAGUACAGGGCCUGCAGAGGGAGAAUGGGAGACUACAGGAAAAACUGAGGAGCAGUGAAGAGCUCAAUGCUACACUGCGUAGUGAACUGGACCUGCAUCGCUCCAUUAUGGCUCAGACAAGCUCCUAUCACCAGGAACAGGACCAAGGACAAGACUGCGCAGGAGAGGGGCCUCUAGUGGAAGACUAUAAAGGAGAAGGACAUGCAGCCUCCCAACAGGAUACUGCUAGUCUUCCUCGCACUGUGAACACAGAUCUCCUGGCUGAGCAUCUGCAGGAGAUCCGAGCAUUGCGGCAGCGCCUGGAGGAAAGCAUCGGUACCAAUGACCGUCUUAGAGAACAGCUGGAGAGGAGACUAGCUGAGGUGGAAAAAGACCCAGCAGCUACCAACAUCUUCAUCCAAGGUACAGAGGAGCAGGGUCAGUUAGCCAGUGAGGUGCACUUCCUGUGGAGUCAAAACCAGGCCCUGAAGGAGCAGCUCAGCUUGGGAUCUAGAGACAAGCAAAAAGAGAAUGAAAAGUUAAGGGAGACGCUGGCGAGACGAACAGCCAAGUUGGAGCACUGCAGAAAGGAAUGUGAGGCCCUGAGGCAGGAGAAUAGCAACCUUCAGGAUAGGCUGGAGUGCAACCACCAGGAGAAGACGCAGCUGCAGAACUCAUUGCACUACAGCAGGGAUGAGCUGCACAGGUUGCAGUAUGAGGUGAAACUCCAGAGACAGCAGCUGUCUGACUCGCAACACCUCCUUCAGUCACUGCGUGUGGAGCUACAAGUCCAUGAAAAGAUCAAGACUCAAGCUCACAAACACACAGAAUCCAGUGAGGGAGUCCAAGAGAUUGUGCCAGGCUCAGGCUCAGUGGACUUGGGGGAGCUGUUGUCGGAGAUUCGUCACCUGAGGCUCCAACUGGAAAGGAGCAUACAAACAAACACCGCUCUUAGACAGAGAUUGGAGGAGCAGCUGCUCAGAGAGCCCAACCGCUCUGACACAAUCAACAUCAACUACCUGCUCUCUGCUUCAGAUGAAGGAGGCAGAUCCCCUGGACGAGAAGGCUAUGGUCCUCCCCGUCACUCCUCUCACACCCACACCGAACAUACCAGUGCCCUCCAUGAGGGGAAGCGUCGUGCUCAAGUGGAGGUGGAUAAUGUGUCCCAGUACAGUGGCAGCUCUGGGGACAGUGUAUCUGAUGCUCCCUCUCGCCUAGUCCCAGGCCAUCGCCUCUGGGCAAAUCGCAAUGGCCGCCAUGUUCUUGGCCUAAUCGAGGACCACAACGCCCUGCGUAAGCAAAUCUCUGAGGGUCGUAGGCUCACGCGCAACAUGGAGACACAACUGCAGGAAUGUCUGCACACGGUGAAAGAGCAGGGUUCCGACAACAGGGUGGUGGAGCAGCAGCAUGUGAAGACGUUGUCCAGCAGUGUCAACACCAUGCAGCAGGUCUUGGAGGAGGCAGCUCGACUGCUCAAACUGGUCUGGAGAGUCUCCCUGCCGGCUGGCUCCACAGCAGGGGAGGGCAGCAACAACCAGCAGGAUGAGCUGUUGAAAAAUGAGAUAGCCAGGCUAAGGAGCAGGCUGUCUCAACAGGAGAAGAUGCUGAGUGGAGCUGUUAAGCGUCUACGCACCACCAACAGGCUUAAAGAGGGAAUGGAAAGGGUCAUCAUUGACCAGUUAGCGCUAACCCACGGAGUGCUGAAAAAAGCCAGGGGGAACCUAGAGGAAGUACCAGUCAAUGGCCAGUAGGUGACACUAGAGGUCCUGAGGAAAUAAGUACUCUUCCUGUUAGAAGACGAAAUUCUGGCAGGCACUCUGUGUCUUCAGAGGACAACAACAGUGAUGCAUCCUUGCACUGCAGCUACUAGAUCUGCUGGUCCAGCACCUUGCACUGCCUUUAUAUUGUAGCAACCUAUAGACCUGUCAAUUAUUCUGUCAGGCCUUAUCCUGCUUUUCUACCCUGCUGUAUGAAUGUCUGUCUGCUGACUCUCCAGACAUCAAAGACUGUAAUUUUCAUGAAUGAACAGCUCUGAACAAGUCUAACAAAGGCCUGGACAAGUUGAAUGAAUGGCUCCUGGCCUUCAUGGCUGCCUUUGGAGCCUGGUGUGGGUGGCUUGGUCUGGGUACAAGGAAGAAUACCACCGGCUGGUGAUGAUGGUGAUCCCCCUGCGGAAGUAACAAGACAGGCUAGACAGAAGAGUGCUCUGAAGGCGAGGAAUCAACAGGAGAGAGAAGGACAUAAAAUAUCAGAAAUUACAUGUGAUCAUUCUGCAAACAGCGAAAUUCACAGACAUCUUCAAAAUGUCAGUUAAAGGAAAAGUUAAUGAGAGAAAAAUUAGGACUGGUGGGUCGUAAGAUCUCACCAGUUCAGAGCUGAGUCCCUGUUUGACCUUCUGCUUGUUUGUGUGGAGGAUCGAGGGGUCCUUCAGACAUCGAACUGCCAAGACUUGAAGAAACAUGUCAUUUCCCCGACCUCUGAAAUGUCCAAACCGUGUAUUUGCUCCAACCAUGUUACGAAGCCAGCUGAUUUCAUUAACUAGUUUUCCCUACCUAGUUGAGGAGUGCUGUUGGCUAGAAUCUGCUGGUGUAGUGCAUGAGUGGAGCAAAUACAUGGUUUGGACUUUUACUUUCUGGACCUGGUUUUUACACCUCUGUAUAUAUAUCUAAAACUUUGUUAAAAAAACACUCAACGGUAGGGCAAGUGCUCAACAAAUAAGGAGCAAA